CGCAGGCUGCAACCCGCCUGCGUGAAGUUGGAAUCGCUAGUAAUCGCGGAUCAGCAUGCCGCGGUGAAUACGUUCCCGGGCCUUGUACACACCGCCCGUCACACCAUGAGAGUCGGGAACACCCGAAGUCCGUAGCCUAACCGCAAGGGGGGCGCGGCCGAAGGUGGGUUCGAUAAUUGGGGUGAAGUCGUAACAAGGUAUC
rnacentral:rRNA from 1 species